CGCUUUGAAAAGAUCUGUAGU
rnacentral:piRNA from 1 species